AUGGAGAAGACCAUCGUCCUGUACCCCGGCCUCGGCGUGGGCCACUUCAACCCCAUGAUGCAGCUCGCCGCCGCGCUCCUGGAGCGUGGCUACGCCGUCACCGUCGCGCUCAUCGGCCACGACUCCCUGGCCGCCGCCGUCCGCCGGGUCGCCUCCUCCAUGCCGUCCGUCCGGAUCCACACGCUCCCGCCCGUCCAGGACCACCCCGCCUUGGCGCUCGACGGGCCGUCGUCGCUCCUGCUCUCGUACCUCCGCCUCCUGGACCGCUACAACGGCCGCCUCCACUACUUGCUCUGCUCCACCCGCCGCGCCCAUGCCCUUCACUCCGUCCUCGGCGACGGCGAGAGCCGCCGGAAAGGCUCCAGGGAGCUAGGAGACGGCCCUGUCGAGUUCUUCGGCCUCCCGCCCGUGCCGGCUUCGCACCUGCUCGCCGAGCUGCUCGAGGACCCGGAGAGCGACGCGUACAAGGCGACGAUGGCCGCCAUGUACCGGAUCCCGGAGGCCAGCGGCAUUCUGGUGAACACUUUCAGGUCGCUCGAGGCUCGGGCGGUGGCGGCUCUCAGGGACCCUCGGUGUCUCCCCGGCCGGGUCUUGCCUCCGGUGUACUGCGUCGGACCUCUCAUCGGGAGCAGCGGCGACGGCGAGGCAACUUCACCGAGGCACGAGUGCCUUGCGUGGCUCGAUGGGCAACCCGACCGCAGCGUCGUGUUCCUCUGCUUCGGGAGCAUGACGAACUGGGGACUCCAGUCGGAGGAGCAGCUCGGGGAGAUGGCCGUCGGCCUGGACAACUCCGGCCAUCGGUUCCUCUGGGUCGUGCGAGCCCCCGGCGGUGACGGCGUCCCAGAUCUCAGCGCGCUCCUGCCGGGCGGGUUCUUGGAGCGCACGGACGGCCGCGGCCUCGUCGUCAAGCUGUGGGCGCCGCAGGUCGACGUGCUCCGCCACAGAGCCACCGGCGCGUUCGUGACGCACUGCGGGUGGAACUCGGCGCUGGAGGGCGUCACGGCCGGCGUGCCGAUGCUUUGCUGGCCGAUGUAUGCGGAACAGAGGAUGAAUAAGCUCUUCAUGGUUGAGGAGAUGAGGGUCGCCGUGGAGAUGGUCGGGUGGCAGCAGGGGCUCGUCAAGGCCGGCGAGGUGGAGGGCAAGGUAAGGAUGAUCAUGGAGUCUGAGGAGGGCAGGGAACUAAGGGUGCGAGCGGCGGCGCAGAAGGAAGGCGCCGCCGUGGCGUGGAACGACGGCGGCUCGGGGCGCGCGGCGCUUGCCCAGUUCCUGGCCGAAGUGGACAGCCGACAGCCGCUGGCUCGCGACGGGGAAGCUAUCGAUGGUGAGCUUUGGCAACCAGUGUGA
rnacentral:rRNA from 1 species